rnacentral:lncRNA from 1 species
AGAGCUCCUGUUGAUAAAUAUGCAGUAUCCCACAGUACUUCACAUUUGCAAGUCUUGGGGAAUCUUUUGAAGACUUGGAGUUGAAGGGUUGUAUAAUUUUUUUUUCCAUUGCUGAUUUAUUCUACAGAGACAGAUCAAGUUCAGUAUCUGGUACAUGUACAAUGGAGAAUUCAGAGAAAUCAUCAGGGGUUACUGGGGCUUGGAAUGAAAGCUUGGACCACUGAAUCAACAACUCUGCUUUAAGCAUGAAGUGGAGACAGGAUUACAUAGAUGUUGCUAUGUCAAAUGUUCUCGGAACUCACAGAUCCAACUAAGUCAUGAAGCCCUAGGAAACGGGGACUGUAGUCUCUCAGGAUGAUGUACUGGCCUAAGCAGAACAAGUUUCUUUUGACACUGCUUCUUGUUCACACCUUUCCCGUGCCCUGUUUUCUUUAGACGCUGACUCCUGCUGUCUACCAGAUCCUCGUGGUACAAUGACUGGUGUAGACUGGCUUGUUGAAGUCACUCUCUGGAUCUGAGCAACGCUGGCUGAGCCGUGAUGAAGUAUUCCUAUCCAUCCACUAUGCUUCACAGUGGGAAUCUCUCACUGUUCAUCACCGCUGCCCUAGCAGCCGCAGGGAUUCUUCACCCAUGGUUGCUUAGGUUUAUAAGCAAGGAAGCUGAAUGAAGUCCCUUUCCUCUCUGGAUGAGCCCCUGGGUUUCUGGAAGAGUCUUAAAAUCACCCCUAAAUGGCUUCCAAGCACUGAAGCCCGAGAUGUUAGCUGGCCUGUGUGAGGCCUUGAGACAGAAUGCCACAGCCACACCCCAAGGAUGCUGAAGGGGAUUUCCCUCCUCUGUGGUUUUUCUCCUUUCUUCCCGCAGCACUCCUCCUACGUGCUAACAUCUUCUAGUCAAACAACUCUCCUUUUCAAAGGGACCAGGCACAGUUUCUGCUUAUCCCUGAGUAGCAGUGUUCAGUUUCCUGCCAGCCUGUGGAGUUUUUCAAACAAGCCAAUCACCUCCUCCUGUGGGAACUGAGAAGCACCCCACCCUCUCGAUACUACAAAGCCCCUGCUUGUUCCCUAGUGCAACUCCCAUGUGGUCCUGUGGAGCAUAUGGUAUCUUCCUCUUCUGGGCAGUGAGCAUAUGUGACUAAUAAACUAUCUAUCU